rnacentral:lncRNA from 1 species
CCUCUUAUCUUAGUAAAUUUUGUAUUGAUCAAAGGAAUAGGACUGGCAUGGAGAUUAACUUUUGGAAACUGGCCGGCACUGUACUGCGACUGAAGCCAACAAUGGUCCAGCAACUGUCUGCACAGUUUUAACUCCGCCAGCUUUAGAUCUCAUCUUGGGACUAAUGCUAGUUCCCCAUGGCGAUCCCUCAGAUAACGGCGUAGAAGUACAUUUGUUGUAUCUAGUGCUUGAACCAUGUGAUUGGUAUUCGUUAUCCUGAUUGAAUUUAUUCUCAGAUACAUUGGAUAUAUCAGAAAUGUGUUGUUUAUGGGAAGUUCGAGAGAUUGGACUUAAUUGUGGAAUAAUACCAAAUCUUGACGUGUUUCUACUAUUAAAAGUAGUAUCACUACUUAAUUGAUAUCCA